UCCAGCUCCACACGGGGCUAGAGAGGAUAUCACCUCUUUUGGAGGGACUCAUCUUUCUCCAACUCUUGUGAAAAUGUCCUUUGAAUAGAACCUAUGUCCAGCCACAGGACUGAACCAGGAAUGAGCACAUGACAAGCCAGGCCAGAGUGCUCGCCAGAUCACUGUGAGGACUCCCCUGAUGGCAAGGCCAUAAGCUUGGAGGAGCCUGGACCAUGGGCCCAGCUGCUUGAGGAGGUCUUGCUUGAGGGAAGAAAGUUUUGUGUGUAAGGAGAUACGUGUUAUUUCCGGGUGGAAUAGGAGACUACAGUGGUGUGGCCUGAGGAACAUGCCAGGGCUUACCUGCCCACAAACUAGAUGCCUGAAAUAUCAAAGCCAAGACUAUCUUCCAGAGAAGCAGAUAUGCAGUUUGGGGAAGAGGGACGGGGGCCAGAAUGGAUCACUUGGUCAUGCAAGUUGUCCAUACAAGUUGGAAGGAUAUGGAGAACCUAACCCACAGAAAAUGAAAACAAGGUUCAAAUUGGGGAGGAGAUGGCAGAGGGUGGAGGUGACAGACAAUGUGUAGAAGGACUCUAACCUGUUGUCACUUCGGAUAAAGGCCAUUUAUCUCCCAUCUGCUGUUGUCAAAGAGGUAAGAAGGUAAGAGUAAAUUUCUGUCUAGGGAGAAUAAGGUAAUUGCAUUCAACACAUCUUAAGCAUCUACUUACUACAAGGCAAGAUGGCCCAAAUCUGGGGAAGGAGCUGCUUUGAGCUACUACAGGGAGCCUCCCAUCCUUGUCCUUAACCAGGGUUCCCUUGUCUUGCACAGUCUGAGACUAUCCCGCAAGGGAUCACCCUCUGUAAAAUAACAUAUUUCUAAUAACCAGGGAAACACAUUAAACCACGUUUUUCUCAAGGCGCAUUUAAAGAAUAUUAAUCAAGCACCUGAGAUGUGGCAGAUCCUGCACUAAGCUUCAUGGAUGUAAGAGCCCGAGACAUUGUUCAAUUCCCAUUCCCAAAUCAAGCGUUAGGAUCGUGCUUGGUGCCGUGGGGACACACAGGCCUGGGAAGGCACAGGACUGAGGGCCUGGCGAUGCUGGAAAAGGCUUCUCUGAGCCAGCAAGGCCUAAACUGGGCCCUGCAGAUGGAAGAAGUCAUCUAAGUGAAGCCCUUGUGUUCACUUUGUGGGGACAGAUGCCAUGGCUCCCCUGCAGGUCCUGUGCUGUGCAGCUUCUCUCUGUGUAAAUGGGAGAGAUGACCUAAGGAGCAGCUAAACAAGUGCGGAGGCAUUUAUACCUUUAAGGCCUUAGGUGUUCCUGUAGUUUCUGAAGAGGCAUGGGUAACAAACAUCCACUGCUGGGAACAUGAUGUACUCUGUCUAAUCCUCCCCAGUCCUGCAAAGGUGGGCAUGAAGAGCCACGUUUCAGAGACGAGGAAACGGGGAGAGGCUGAAUAACUCUCCAAAGCUUAUCCUGAUAGUGAGUUGUGAAGCUGGGAUGGGAGCCAGGCCUGUGAAGCCUCCCGCAAGGCAGCGGCUGACUCGGAAAAGGUGUGAACCCAGCCUCAGCCAACACAGGAAAGGAAAGGAGCGACAAUGGUAAUUGAGGAAAUUAGAGUCUAGGUUCCAUUCUGAAGGUGUCAUGUUGCCUGCACUGGUAAUUGGGCAAUUUAGGACUAGGAGGGUCCAUCUGUUCUCAACACUCUGCUUCCUCAAGGCUUUCAGUCCCUGGCUCGCAUCAACUCCAAGGAUGGUGUAGGUGAGGGGAGUAUGCAAGUGCCUCUAGAGCUGGAAGAGGCUCAGCCUCGAGCAGAGUUACGGCAGGCUGAGGGCAGGAAGGGGAAUAAAGAUUUGUUUGAGCUGAGGCUUGACAUUCUUUCAUAACUUUGGAAGGUUUGGAGACAGAGGUUCAUACACUGGGAUUGCAUUCAUUUUAAUGCUGUUUCCACUUAAAAGGUUUUUUAUUUUUUUAUUUUUAUUUUUAUUUUUUUUUGGAGAUGGAGUUCUGCUCUUGUUGCCCAGACUGGAGUGCAGUGGUGUGAUCUCGGCUCACUGCAACCUGUACCUCCCAGAUUCAAGCGAUUCUCCUGCCUCAGCCUCCCGAGUAGCUGGGAUUACAUGCACGCACCAGCACGUCCGGCUAAGUUUUUGUAUUUUUAGAGAUGGGGUUUCACCACGUUGGCCAAGCUGGUCUCGAACUCCUGACCUCGUGAUCCACCCGCCUUGGCCUCCAAAAGUGCUAGGAUUACAGGCGUGAGCCACUGCACCUGGCCAUCACUUAACAGUCUUUCUCAAGGUCAUCCUCAAAAGCUUUUCUUGUCUCUAAUCUGAAACUAAUCACCCAGGGAUAAAAUCAUCUCCAAUUUAAGCACAAAUCAGUUCAAGGCAUCUCUUGUUAUUUCAUCUUCCCUGGGACCAGCACAACGAAUAUUUUCAAUUCAGUUUUAUUGUUGAUCACUCCAGGAGAAAGCUAGUAAGAUCAAAUUUAUAAGCCACUAAUAACAAGCUAUUAUUAUAGUUCUUUUGUGAAGAACUUAUUUGUAAGCUAACAUUUUAGUUGACAUUGAAUACCUUUAAACAUUUUUUUCAUACAUGUCUAUUUUUUCUCCCAAUAAUCUCAUCAUUCUUCUCUGAUUCUUUUUAAAAGUUCCCGGGGUUGAGGGUGCUAUACAUCUUGACUCAAGAACUCACCAUCUGGGAAACAAGUUAUGCAUUGAGAAUCCCCAAAGAACAGGCUAUAUGUAUGAACUUCCUAGCACUUAAAUACUAACAUGCUUUUUACAAUUGAGUUGGUCUGCAGUUUCUUCUGGUUAAAUCCAGGCCCAUUCAUGUUUCAAUCUGGCUAAGUCUAGGCUAUACAUAUGACUAAGGACUUAAUUUCUCCAUUUAAGAACAUCUAUUUAAGAUCACUUUAUACUUUAAAAUUACUGGUUUUGCUAAAUCUGUGACUGUAUUUCCUAAUAGGGUGAAAUAAAAUUUUGAUACAUUCUCAGAAUCUUCAGGAAUUUUAAGCUAUUUUCAGAGGACAUAAACUAAAAACCAUUACUUUAAAGACCAGUAUUUAUUAUUUAUUUGCUAAUGUUGGAUUCCCACUAUUUGAUUAUUUUGAUGCUAACUUCUCAGGUAAACAAUAAUGACUUAAUGGACAGAUGGAUGUUACACCAAUGGCACAGCAAUGUACUCAAAUGUUAAAAAUACAUCCAUAGCGCUAUGUGAUUGCUUUACAACCACUGUAUUUCUUACGGGAUAGAACAAAAAAAUACAACAACAAAGCAGAGCCACUUCUCCUAAGUGUGUAACAUGG
rnacentral:lncRNA from 10 species